rnacentral:lncRNA from 1 species
UUUAAGACAGGGUCUUGCUCUGUUGUCCCAGACUGGAGUGCAGUGGCGCAGUCACAGCUCACUGCAGCCUCAACCUCCUGAGGCUCAGAUGAUCCAUCUCAGCCUCUGGAGUAGCUGGGACUACAGGCAUGUGCCACCAUGCCCAACUAAUUUUUUUAGUUUUUAUAGAGAUGGGGUCUUGCUUUGUUGCUCAGGCUGGUCUCAAACUCCUGGUUUCAAGCAGUCUUCCUGCCUUGGCUUCCCAAAGUGCUGGGAUUAAAGGUGUGAGCCACUGCACCCAGCCUCUUCUUAGAAUUUAAUUUUAAAUUAUGAUGAAUGUACAACAUUCCAUUAUUCCAGUAUAAGCCUCUGUCUGUUUGAAUGAGGUUAACGACAGUUCUUUAGGGUUAAAAUAAGAUUCUGUAGUAGUCAUCUCUAUAGCUGUACAGAAAUAGCACAGACACCCUGCAAAAGAAAAGAAAAGAUAUAAGGACAGACUCAGUUUAAUGAGUGAAGAACAGAGCUAAUAAAUUUUUAUAACACCUGUAGGAGCUUUAUUUAAGCAAAAACAAGAUGGAAGGCUAGUCAUUAAAAAAUUAUAUAGGUUUUAUACAAGGUGUGACUGACAGGGGUCUGCAGUAUAAGGUCCUAGUAAGGAGAUAACCAUUCACCUCAUAGGCUUCCUUGUUGCCUUUUAAGUGUAUGAUAACAUGAAUGAUUGAUUGAUUGAUUGGCAUUAUGACAUAAGGACAUACAGCAAAGUAGUCAUGGUUAUUUUCUUUGAUUUAAACAUACUUAGAAAGUGAAUUACCUGGGUGAACAAAAUUGUAAUUGGGACAGCUACUCCUAGGACCCCUGUGUUUUGUUAUUGAUGAGAUCAUGACUGUGAUUCACAGUCCAAGCAAGAUUUAUUGGUUGUCAGCUGCAAUUCUAAGAACAGCUUACCAGGCGUCAAACCUCAACAAGACAACAAAAUAAUGUCACUCUGAAACCCCCCGCCCUGAAUUUUAACCAUGUGAACCCUGCUAUGCCCAAGUGAUAACUUACUUUUUUUCUACUUUGAUGUUAUAAAUUUCAUCACAGACUAAUUUGAGGUAUCUUUGCUUUGGCAGGCGUGACAGCAGCUGCUUCACAGUUGUGUUAAAUGCCUGUUCAUCAGCAUCCCACUAGGAAAAAAAUAGAUAAGACUUAACAACAGGUCUCUAGGGUUUACUAGCUGGUUUUUUCUGGGUCACUAAUGAAAUUCCAGUGUCAUUUCCCUCUUCAAGUAUACCAGGAGAAUCAGUAAUAGGGAGAUAGCAGAACCAGUUAGGAGACUGCUGGGGUUCCUCUGAAGCACCAGUUUUCCUUAAAACAAGACUCCCUAAUUAGAGCCUGAUUAACAAUGCUGCAGCCCUAGUGUGCUGAUGUGACUUUAGAGCAGUUAUUUCUGCCUACCGUUUACUUUUUUUUUUUUUUUUUUUGAGAUGGAGUUUCGGUCUUGUUGCCCAGGCUGGAGUGCAGUGGCACAAUCUCGGCUCACUGCAACCUCCACCUCCUGGGUUCAAGUAAUUCUUCUGCCUCAGCCUCCCAAGUAGCUGGGAUUACAGGCGCCUGCCACUACGCCCGGCUAAUUUUUUGUAUUUUUAGUAGAGAUGGGGUUUCACCAUGUUGGCCAGGCUGGUCUCAAACCCCAGACCUCAGGUGAUCCACCCACGUCGGCCUCCCAAAGUGCUGGGAUUACAGGCGUGAGCCACUGCACCCGGCCUCUGUUUACUUUUUGUACAACGGUGAUAGCAGCUCUUAAGUAUAUCCAUUUGACUGGAUCAUAAAUCAGUACACUGCCAGUGAGAUAGUGGUAUAUGCUUAUUUGUAAGAGAACAAAAAAUGAUAUAUAAAAUACUAGUUCUAGGGCUAAGUUCACUAUUAAUCUAAUUUAAUUUGUGACUAAACACUCUGGAUAGACAAAAAAGUAUUCUUUGAUAUGACAUGUUGCAAAAGUCACCUGUAGCUAUGACUAUAGUUGAGUGUUCUUAAUAGCAAAGAUAACUAUUCAAAUUUUUAAAGUUCUUAUUUAGGCUAUUUGAUGAUAAAGGGAUGUACCUGUAAAAAUAUAUAUAUAUUUAUAAAGGACCUAAUUAAUUUUUACAAAAGGAUUUUGUUUUGUAUAGUACUAAUCUGCAAAUGAGCUUCCCUAGCUGGAAUGGAGGUUUGAGAGAUAGUAUAGUAUAGUGGUUAAGAACACCGAUUCUGCUAGUCUGCUUAGGUUCAAAUCCUGGUUCUACUACUUACUAGCUGGGUGACUGUGGGUAAGAUAUUUAACCUCUCUACUUCCGUACUCUGUAAAGGGAUAAUAACAGUAUCUACAUUUUGGGGUGGUAAUGAUUAAAUGAGUUACUACUUGUAAAAUGCUUACAACAAGGCCUGCCAGACCCUGACACAUAGUAAAAGCAGUAUAUGUGUUUUUUUGUUUUUGUUUUUUGUUUUUAAUAAAAUAAGUAUCUGAAAAAUAAAGUCACUAGAAAAGUAUGAGUCCUUCAACAUAGGAUUUAGGAACAUAUAUGUUACAUAAAAGGAAAAAUGUUACUAAAUUCCUGCAGCUGCCAGAAAAAUACUAUCACUAAUGAAUGCCGUCUUCAGUAUUUUGGCAAACUAAUAGCAAAGAUUUGGGAUCUUAAAG